rnacentral:tRNA from 1 species
GAGGGUAUAGCUCAAGGGGUACAGCGCAUGCUUAGCAUGCAUGAGGUCCUGGGUUCAAUCCCCAGUCCCUCCU